UACGGGGGGGGCAAGCGUUGUUCGGAAUUACUGGGCGUAAAGGGCUCGUAGGCGGCCAACUAAGUCAUACGUGAAAUCCCUCGGCUUAACCGGGGAACUGCGUCUGAUACUGGAUGGCUUGAGUUCGGGAGAGGGAUGCGGAAUUCCAGGUGUAGCGGUGAAAUGCGUAGAUAUCAGGAGGAACACCUAUGGCGAAGGCAGCUCGCUGGGACGGUACUGACGCUGAGACGCGAAAGCGUGGGGAGCGAACAGG
rnacentral:rRNA from 1 species